GUUUUAAGAGGCUGUGCUGGGUUGAAGGAUUUGAAUAGGGGGAGACAGGUUCAUGGUUGUGUGUUGAAGUUGGGGUUAGAGGGUCAUUUUGUUGUUGCGAGUUCGUUGGCACAUAUGUAUAUGAGGUCUGGUAGUUUAAGAGAAGGUGAGAUUGUGAUUAUGUCGAUGCCUGCUCAAACUGUGGCGGCUUGGAAUACUCUUAUUGCUGGUAGGGCUCAGAAUGGGUGUUUUGAGGGUGCGUUGGAGCUAUAUAAUUUAAUGAAAAUAGCGGGGUUUAGACCAGAUAAGAUAACAUUUGUUAGUGUGAUCAGCUCGUGUUCAGACCUGGCUACGAUAGGACAAGGGCAGCAGAUUCAUUCUGACGUUGUAAAAACUGGUGCGGUUUCUGUGGUUGCAGUUGUAAGUUCCUUGAUUAGCAUGUAUUCGAAAUGUGGGUGUUUAGGUGAAGCCGAGAAGAUUUUUGAGGAAAGGGUGGAAGCUGAUAUUGUAUUGUGGAGUGCUAUGAUUUCUGCUUAUGGGUUUCAUGGUAGGGGAAAGAACGCUGUUGAGUUGUUUCAUCGUAUAGAGCAGGAAGGACUAGCACCUAACCAUGUAACUCUCUUGAGUUUGCUCUAUGCUUGUAGUCAUAGUGGGAUGAAGGAUGAAGGGCUUAAAUUUUUCAACUUGAUGGUUGAAAAGUACAACAUAGAGCCUCAACUGGCACACUAUACGUGUGUGGUUGACCUCCUAGGAAGAGCAGGGCGCUUGCAGGAGGCUGAAGCUCUUAUUAGAUCUAUGCCUGUGAAGAUAUUUUAUUAAAUAAAUUAAAUUCUACCCGACCCAACCAAAUAAGACAAUUCCCAAAUUGAAACCGCGACCUACACACAAAAAUUGGCAACAUAUAAACACCAAAUCCAUCAUAAUUUUAACCGCCGACUGCCGCCGCCGAAGAGAGUACCGCUGCCGAGCUUCCACCGCCGCCCACGUACCAUUUCCAUUUCCAUUAUCCACUUAAUUGAUCAAGAGUAUAAAACAAUAUAGAUUAUAAGAUAAAAUGCCACGAAGCUAAGCCCAAAUGAAUAGGACAAUCUUGUCUAAAACCUCUGAAAUUCCUUCCAUUCCGUUCACCAAACACUCGACCAUUCUCUACAGCCUCCACUGAAUUUUCACUCCUAUGUUCUCAAGGUUACAUAAAAGAAGCAUUCAACAAAUUCUCUUUCCUAAUAUGGAACAACCCAGCACAUUUCUCUUCCCUUUUACAAUCGUGCAUACAAGAAAACUCUUUUUCGCUCACCAAACAGUUGCAUUCUCUCAUAAUAACCUCUGGUUGUCUCCGAGACAAAUUUGUUUGCAACCAUUUACUCAAUGCGUAUGCAAAACUGGGUCAGUUAGAUAUUGCAGUUCACCUGUUUGAUAAGAUGUCUAAAAGAAAUGUGAUGUCUUCUAACAUUUUGAUUGGUGGAUAUGUGCAAAUUGGCGAUUUGGGUAGUGCGUGUAAGGUGUUUGAUGAAAUGGGUGAGAGAAAUUUGGCUUCUUGGAAUGCUAUGAUUACUGGGUUGACUCAGUUUGAGUUGAAUGAUAAGGCGUUGAAUUUGUUUACGGAAAUGUAUGAGUUGGGUUUGGGGUACUUGCCUGAUGCGUUUACGCUUGGGAGUGUUUUAAGAGGCUGUGCUGGGUUGAAGGAUUUGAAUAGGGGGAGACAGGUUCAUGGUUGUGUGUUGAAGUUGGGGUUAGAGGGUCAUUUUGUUGUUGCGAGUUCGUUGGCACAUAUGUAUAUGAGGUCUGGUAGUUUAAGAGAAGGUGAGAUUGUGAUUAUGUCGAUGCCUGCUCAAACUGUGGCGGCUUGGAAUACUCUUAUUGCUGGUAGGGCUCAGAAUGGGUGUUUUGAGGGUGCGUUGGAGCUAUAUAAUUUAAUGAAAAUAGCGGGGUUUAGACCAGAUAAGAUAACAUUUGUUAGUGUGAUCAGCUCGUGUUCAGACCUGGCUACGAUAGGACAAGGGCAGCAGAUUCAUUCUGACGUUGUAAAAACUGGUGCGGUUUCUGUGGUUGCAGUUGUAAGUUCCUU
rnacentral:lncRNA from 1 species